GCAGUGUGUCUGCUGUUGUUGAUGCGACUUGUUUCUGAAAGCUGAAGACCAUGAAGCUGAUCAGCGUGUGUGCCCUGCUGUCUCUCCUGCACUGUUUGGCUGCUCAGAUACCUUCAUCAUCUUCAGGACCCCUGCAGCUGCCUAACUCUGCGCUGGGGCUAACUGAAUUAGAGCCAGACUUUAUUGAUGGAAGCCCUGUCACUCCACCGUGUGAGAUCGUCCCACUGACAGACAAACAACAAAGCGAUGGACGACUAGAUGGCCUAAACCUCACAGCGGCUGUGCCAACACUGGCCAGCACGACCACUGCAACCACAAUCUCGACCAGCACGACCCCCACAACCACGGUCUCGACCACUGCCUCAACCAGUGUGAGCACCACAACAACGACCUCAACCACAACAACAACGACCCCAACCACAACAACAACGACCCCAACCACCACAACAACGACCCCAACUACCACAACAACGACCCCAACCACCACAACAACAACCACCACAGUGAGACCAGUGGUUCCAAACCGCCCCAAUUAUGUCCAGUUCAUGUACCGACUGCUGCUGACCCAAUUUGCCAAUGCUGUGCCUCAUCAUCCACAUCCACAUCCACACCCACGUCCAUUCCCACCACGACCCCCCCAUGGAGGGCCUUUCUUCCGUCGACCCCGAUUUCAGUCGGAUUCAUCUGAAGAGCACUAAAACUAGGGCUGACAACACAGUCCACACUCUCCACACAGUCUAAACUUCGCUCCACACACUCUAAACACUACUCCACACAGUCUAAACUUAACUCCACACAGUCUAAACACUACUCCCCACAGUCUAAACUUCACUCCACAAACUUUAAACACUACUCCACACAGUCUUAAUAUACUCCACACAGUCUAAACACCUCUCCACACACUCUAAACACUGGUUAAAACGCAUCACUCCCAGUCUAAACAUAUUACAUACACUAUGAGCACACAGUGUAAACAAACACCACACACUCCAAAACACUCCAUACCCUCUUUACAAAACUCAUAUUGAACUGUUAACACACUAAAUAGUUUAAAUACACUAUACAGUCUAAAACACUAAAAAGAGUAAAAUAAACUUUAAUCAGUCUUCA
rnacentral:lncRNA from 1 species